rnacentral:rRNA from 1 species
AGUGAACGCUGGCGGUAGGCCUAACACAUGCAAGUCGAACGGCAGCACAGUAAGAGCUUGCUCUUACGGGUGGCGAGUGGCGGACGGGUGAGGAAUACAUCGGAAUCUACUUUUUCGUGGGGUAUAACGUAGGGACACUUACGCUAAUACCGCAUACGACCUACGGGUGAAAGCAGGGGAUCUUCGGACCUUGCGCGAUUGAAUGAGCCGAUGUCGGAUUAGCUAGUUGGCGGGGUAAAGGCCCACCAAGGCGACGAUCCGUAGCUGGUCUGAGAGGAUGAUCAGCCACACUGGAACUGAGACACGGUCCAGACUCCUACGGGAGGCAGCAGUGGGGAAUAUUGGACAAUGGGCGCAAGCCUGAUCCAGCCAUACCGCGUGGGUGAAGAAGGCCUUCGGGUUGUAAAGCACUUUUGUUGGGAAAGAAAAGCAGAAGGUUAAUACCCCGCUGUUCUGACGGUACCCAAAGAAUAAGCACCGGCUAACUUCGUG